rnacentral:lncRNA from 1 species
GAAUUAAGGAGAAAAGAACUAUUUUUGUGGUCACUGGAAUUCAUGUUCAUCUGUGACUCCACGUAUCAUUGGCAGCUUAAUCGAUGGUUGUCCUGACAAUUAUAUGGGUAGGUUUGUUCAUGAAACGACAUUGUAUCCUCUAGCUAUGUGACCGUGGAGUUCUUUUGUAUCACAAAACAGGAUGUACCUAACCUUUUAUUCGUAC